ACUCAAUAGAUACCCAGGUAGUCCAUGCCGUAAACGUUGGGCACUAGGUGUGGGGACAUUCCACGUUUUCCGCGCCGUAGCUAAACGCAUUAAGUGCCCCGCCUGGGGAGUACGGCCGCAAGGCUAAAACUCAAAGGAAUUGACGGGGGCCCGCACAAGCGGCGGAGCGUGCGGAUUAAUUCGAUGCAACGCGAAGAACCUUACCAAGGCUUGACAUGAACCGGAAACGUCUGGAGACAGGCGCCCACUUGUGGUCGGUUUACAGGUGGUGCAUGGUUGUCGUCAGCUCGUGUCGUGAGAUGUUGGGUUAAGUCCCGCAACGAGCGCAACCCUCGUUUCCAUGUUGCCAGCGCGUUAGGGCGGGGACUCAUGGGAGACUGCCGGGGUCAACUCGGAGGAAGGUGGGGACGACGUCAAAUCAUCAUGCCCCUUAUGUCUUGGGCUUCACGCAUGCUACAAUGGCCGGUACAAAGGGUUGCGAUACUGUGAGGUGGAGCUAAUCCCAAAAACGCCGGUCUCAGUUCGGAUUGGGGUCUGCAACUCGA
rnacentral:rRNA from 1 species